UCCCUCUUAGCUCAGUUGGUAGAGCGCGUCACUAGUACAUGAUUAUUUCUCAGUCACAAUGACGAGGUCAGUCGUUCAAGUCGGCUAGAGGGAA